CCGAGUUUACAACUCCCAAACCCAAUGUGAACCAUACCAAACUGUUGCCUCGGCGGGGUCACGCCCCGGGUGCGUCGCAGCCCCGGAACCAGGCGCCCGCCGGAGGGACCAACCAAACUCUUUUCUGUAGUCCCCUCGCGGACGUUAUUUCUUACAGCUCUGAGCAAAAAUUCAAAAUGAAUCAAAACUUUCAACAACGGAUCUCUUGGUUCUGGCAUCGAUGAAGAACGCAGCGAAAUGCGAUAAGUAAUGUGAAUUGCAGAAUUCAGUGAAUCAUCGAAUCUUUGAACGCACAUUGCGCCCGCCAGUAUUCUGGCGGGCAUGCCUGUCCGAGCGUCAUUUCAACCCUCGAACCCCUCCGGGGGGUCGGCGUUGGGGACCUCGGGAGCCCCUAAGACGGGAUCCCGGCCCCGAAAUACAGUGGCGGUCUCGCCGCAGCCUCUCCUGCGCAGUAGUUUGCACAACUCGCACCGGGAGCGCGGCGCGUCCACGUCCGUAAAACACCCAACUUUCUGAAAUGUUGACCUCGGAUCAGGUAGGAAUACCCGCUGAACUUAAGCAUAUCAAUAAGCGGAGGAA
rnacentral:rRNA from 1 species